UGCUCGUGUUGUGAAUC
rnacentral:miRNA from 1 species